rnacentral:lncRNA from 1 species
GAUGCAGGAACAUCUGGAGCAGGAGACGAGGAGUAGGAGCUAUCACCGGCCAGUAUUGCCAUUUGAUUUCCGACCGCGCUAUUUUAUUUUCUUUUCUAUUCUAACGUUUUAUGGUCUUAUUUUCUGUUAAUUUUGAACUUAGUUUUUUUUUUUUCUUAAUUAUGAGUUCGUAUUUCUUUUACAUGGUUUCUUCGUUUUAUUUGGUUGUGUUUUGAGUAGUUUUUAAUUCGUAUUCAGUUUUGCCUUGCUAGAUAAACCAAAUAACUAAUAUCCGAGGAAAGAGGUUAUAUCAAGUGUUCCUCGGAAUUUCCUC